UGCAGGAGUCUGCUGGGCUUUGGGAAGUAAGUGUGAAGAUCAAGGUCUAUUUUACCCCUCUGACCACUUGGCGGCGCUACAGAAAAGCAAAUCCAAGUCUGCACAAGGAUGCCGACAGAUUAUGCGCCGUUCAUCAGGUGCCCAUCACAGAAGCACGCGAGGUAAGGAACAGUCCUUCUUACAUAAUCUAAGAAUGUGCUCGACUGACAAUCGUUUACAUCGCGGCCGGUCACAGAACUAUUUGGCCUCGAGGUAGCCAUCCAUAAAUCGCCUUAUCCGUCAACGUAGUGCAUUCCGCGUUGCCGCUGUGUAUAGAGCGAGGUGUGUUUCUGAUUGACUGACAUCUCAUCUAUGCGGUUUUGUUGUAAUAUGCAUAUGUCUCGUGCGGAAAUGUUUGUAUUAAU